UAUAGCUUAAAGCCACAUUUAAAUAAAACUGUUGUGAAAUAAUACUUACUUUUUCAUCAAAUGGGUCAAAUUUUGGAAAAAAGUUGUCCUCCAUCUCCUCUGAAAGCGUUUGGUGGGAUCUCGUUCUACUUCGGCAUUUCACAGAGUCUUUCCGUAAGAAAGGUGACGGAGAUAAAUCUGCAUUCAGGGCCAUCUCAGCCUCCUUUCUGCGCUGUUUUGCUAAUGCCUAAUACCAACAAGAACAGAAAAAUCAGAUGUGCUUGAGCCUAAUUAAAUGUAAUGAGUUUAAUAAUUCUGUAUUCUGAUAAUAUACAUAUUUUUGCAGUGUAAUGCAACCCAUUUUAUGUAGGUACUGGGAAAAAAGCAUAAUUUCAGUAUUUGAAUUUGCUUUCAAAAUCAACAUAAAAUGUUGUUUGCAAUCAAUUUUACUUGCUUUUAUCCACUAGGAGCCGUAAAAGGAAUGGAAAAAUGUAUCAAGAACCACAAGAAGUUGAGGUUCAGCUAAUGAUUAUUUCAGACAGCGAGUUAUAAAGUUGAAUUACUCUCUGUUCCUUGCGCAGCUGUUCCAUCGCCAGCUGAAACUCUCUUUCUUUUGCCCAGGCCUCUGCGAUGGUGGCUUGGUUUUGCUCUUCAUAUGCCAUGGCCACGACAGCCAGGAUCAAGUUCACCAGAUCUGUUCCAGUUCAGCAUCAGUUAACAGGUUAAAUCUGUGCAUCAGUCUCAGGAUUGAGGUUGCCAUGAGGAUGGAGGUGCUCAGGUCUCUAUAGUAACUGUGUCCUGGAGGAGAAUGAAACGAUGGUAAUAAGAGUGUCUCUCAGGAACUGUCUACUCACAUAAAGAGGGAGAGAGAAAAGAUCAGUGCAAAUCCACUAUGUUCUGUUGUCGUGAAAACAGCCAUUAACAAACCUACAAAAGGGCUUAGGAGGGAUCAGAUGUGAAUGUAGAGGGGAAAUCCUCUCUGGGUUGUGUGCCUUGAGCCGAGGAGAGCACUGAUGGGAACUGAAAGUGUUAAACCCUGAUCACAGACAGACACACGGAUCAUUGUUUCUUCUUACUGGGUCUGAAUUGUUUCAACACAGAAUCGACUGCCACAGGACCAGACACCUGCGUGCAUCAUGACUGCAGACGCUCAAAACAUCUGUGCAUGUGGUGCGCUGUAAUGUGCAGCUGUCACAUGAUGCCAAAUCACUUUCAUUUGGGGAAUUAGAAGAGGAAUCUCAGCGGAUUUGGUUGGCAAUGCCAGAGAAGAACAUUACAGCGCUGUUUCAGAAAUGAGACCAAAUCCAAUAGAAUUCUGAUGAUAAGCAUUUUAGAUUUGCCUCAAAGUGUGAGCAGCUGGAUAUCAUUGUGCUGUUGGGCCAGAUUUUGGGAUUUUGAUGCCUAAAUGAUUAGUUUAGGAGGCCUUAUGUGAAAAAUCAAACCGCUUUUUUGCUAUAUUUUCUGAUAAUAUAUGUGGUGUUUGUCCAUGAAGAAGCCACCAUAAUGAUACUACAACGACUUUAAUGUUUGGAUGGUUGCUAGUGCAUUGCAUUUGGUACACCCUCAGAAAAAAGCUACAAAAGCUGUCAUUUGUACCUUUUCAAAAGGUACAAAUACACACCCUUGAGGUUCUAAAAAGGAUACCACCCUAGUGACAGCUUUUGUACCUUUUUUUCUGAGAGUAUAUGGUAUUUAGGUGUCCUGGGUGGUUGUAUACUAGCCCAGGCCAAAUACCUGGCUUUUAAAAUGAUGCUUUUGGAAACCAGAUUUAUAAAAUGUCUCACAAAUUAAAAAAGAAAUCAGUGUAGCUGUGUUUUUAGAGAAGUUUGAGGUCUUAGGGUCUGAUAUAUGUGCAAAGCUAAACACAAAUCAGAAGCAC